rnacentral:miRNA from 1 species
UUUGUAUUACGAGCGGAAAUUGUUACCAUUUUCGGCUCAAAAAUGGUAACAAUUUCCGCACGUAAUACAAA